rnacentral:rRNA from 1 species
UCUGUCAUACCACCCUGAAUGCAUCCAAUCUUGUCUAAUCUUGAAAGCUAAGCAAGGCCAGGCCUGGUUAUUACUUGGAUGGGACAAAACAACAACAAGAUAAACUACAGAA